rnacentral:lncRNA from 1 species
GUUAGUAGUAUGGAACUGAUGGAGAGGCAGGAAAAGGAGAUCACCUUAACCAUUUUGGUCCUUUCCUUUUUAUUAUUAUUUUUUUAUUUAAAGGAGUAUGCUUCGGAUUUAUUUAUAAAGAAAAUCCUCUGAUAUUAUUGCAGGGGAAGGAACAUGUUCACCAGAGCAUAUAGAUCUCAACAUACUAAUCACCGUCAACUGCAGUCAAAGAGCUGGUGUGACUUAAAAAAUAUCUAUCUGUCUAUCAUCUUUUUUACUGAGCUAUAAUCCACCUCAUAAAAUUCACCCUUUUUAAGGUAUAAAAUUCAGUGGAUUUAGUAUACUGACUAGGUUGUACAACCGUAGCCACUAUUUAAUUCCAGAAUGUGUCAACCAGCCGAAACAGAAGCCCACUUCCCAUUAGUGACACCACCCCACUCGCACACCGGGCCGUUCCCCCAGCCCCUGAAAACCACUAAUCUGUGUGUGUGUGUGUGUGUGGUUUUUUUUUUUUUUUUGUCUUACAGACUUGCCUGUUCUUGGCAGCUCGUAUGUAUGAUAUUGUACACUAUGUGGCCUUUCGUAUCUGGCUUCUUUCAGUCAGCAGUGUUUCUGAGGUCCAGUCACCUUGUAACAUGGGCAGUGCCUGAUUUCCUCUCCAUCGUCUCCAUUUCUGGGGUGAUUGUCUGCAAGGCUGUCUCCUGGUCUGCGACAUCUCUUCCUGCCAGCCACGCUAGGAAAAGAAUCAGAAUGCAGGGGAGCUGUUUGUCAAUUCUCCUCUGUACUAGAUACUGCUAGUAAAGGGGAAAAGCUGAUGGACACGAGGUAGACAGGAUGUGCCAUGUCUGCUACUAUGGUACUCAAUAAAUGUUUGUUUCCUUCUCUCUUUCCUUUUCCA